UUCUAUGAUAUAUGUAUGGCUCAAACAGUGAUACUUGUAGAUGUUGUACUCCUUGUCCUCAAAGCAACAGUGGCAGCAGCAAAGAUUCAGAAGGUUCUUCUCAUAGAACAAGGACAGCACCAACAACUACAAGGAUGUUGGAUCAGACAAAUUCUUCUGAUGGUGUUUUGAAAAAUCUUGAUGCAGUUGAACCACACCAUAUCUCCAACCAUUCAGUCACUGAACUUCAAGAAGAUUCAUCUAGGCAGAUUAUAGAAACUAUGUGGAACAAGUUCAGUUAAUUCUGAAAACAUCUUGGGGCAGAUUGAUUGCAUCUUAAAAGUCCAGAACAUGCCAAAGACAUUUGAUUGCUUUGAGGAAUACAGGGAAAAGGUGAAGAUUAAGGCUGAAAGCUUAGAGAUGACAAAAAUGAGGAAGUUCACAAAGCAAAGUAUUAGGAUUCAAUCCUGUCACAGGCAACAACCUGUUAUCCAAAUAGAAUAGGCUUCUCAUUCUUUCAAAUGGACAGAGUAAAUGUUGUGCUA